rnacentral:rRNA from 9 species
GCUGAACUUAAGCAUAUCAAUAAGCGGAGGA